ACGGAAGGCAGCAGUGGGGGAUAUUGCACAAUGGGGGAAACCCUGAUGCAGCAACGCCGCGUGAGGGAAGACGGUCUUCGGAUUGUAAACCUAAGUUGUCAGGGACGAUAAUGACGGUACCUGAAGAGAAAGCUCCGGCUAACUACGUGCCAGCAGCCGCGGUAAUACGUAGGGAGCGAGCGUUGUCCGGAUUUACUGGGUGUAAAGGGUGCGUAGGCGGGUCUGCAAGUCAGACGUGAAAUACCGGGGCUUAACUCCGGGGCUGCGUUUGAAACUGUGGAUCUUGAGUGAAGUAGAGGCAAGCGGAAUUCCUAGUGUAGCGGUGAAAUGCGUAGAUAUUAGGAGGAACACCAGUGGCGAAGGCGGCUUGCUGGGCUUUAACUGACGCUGAGGCACGAAAGCGUGGGGAGCAAACAGGAUUAGAUACCCUGGUA
rnacentral:rRNA from 1 species